UACAGAGGGGGCAAGCGUUGUUCGGAAUUACUGGGCGUAAAGGGCGCGUAGGCGGCCUGUUAAGUCGAACGUGAAAUCCCCGGGCUCAACCCGGGAACUGCGUCCGAUACUGGCAGGCUUGAGUUUGGGAGAGGGAUGCGGAAUUCCAGGUGUAGCGGUGAAAUGCGUAGAUAUCUGGAGGAACACCGGUGGCGAAGGCGGCAUCCUGGACCAACACUGACGCUGAUGAGCGAAAGCCAGGGGAGCAAACGGG
rnacentral:rRNA from 1 species